AGGAAAUACUGCUGAGUAGGACAGAUUUAGUGUCCGGGUGACUCCAGGAAAUAGAGGCUGGUACAGCGAAUUUGAUGUCCGACUAAUGCUUGCUCUCUGAGUACUAGGUUUGCUGUGGACUAUGAAGUCCCAACAUCCACCUGAGAAGAUAGUUGCUGUGCGGUAUCAGACUUACAUGAUAAAUCCAAGAUCCCCGUUGUUCAGGAGUCUGCCCAAACUGCUCAAUAUCUAAUCCUACAUUUGUAUAACCUGAGGCUGUAACAACAAAGUGACUUGUGAUCCAAACAGGAUAUCAUAGGCUGGAUUUGUAGGAACUACUAGGCGAGAAUGGAGACGGUUCAUUCGCAGAUCCACUGGGGCAAACUGCAGGCAAUCCUGCCUUGGUAAUGGCUCUCAUCCAGAUGAAGAGAAGGAGGGCCAAUUGCAGGUUGGCACAGGGCCAAGAGGAUCAAGGGCCUGAGCAGCUAGAGGUGGCAGAGCCUCAAGAAGGUGAAGAUGCUGGCGGACAGGGUCCACUGCAAUGUUUUAUUGGGGAACAAGCUGAGGAAAGAAGGCUACCCAAACUGGCACCCUCUCUCCAGCUUGCCUGAAAAUUGUGUAUGGCUAUCAACCUGUAGCCAGAGAAUCCUCACCCGAGUGUAACCAGUUUGCGUUUGGACCUGCAAAGCUGAGACCAAUUGGUGAGAACUUCUAGACAUCCAUCAGGACCAGUGGCCCACCUUCGCACGAGAGAACUCCAGGUCAAUGGCAUUGAGAACCUAUGGACUUUAUCCUUUAUUUUAUAAAUGCCCAUCCUCCAAAACCCAUCUCUGCAGAGAGACUGUUUGUCCUUUGUUUGUCUGUGUGUGUGCUGGGGGAAUUCUUUAGGAAGGGAUUGAUAGUUAUAUUUCCCAAUUACAAUUUUGUUAACCAGUACUUGCAACUUGUUAAAAGAAGUUUGGUUUUAAAAUAAAUUAAUCAUUGAGGGUUUUUUUUGAAAGAAAUCUGGUCAGAACCUCUUUUCCUCUGGGUGCUAGAAGUAUAGGUACACAAAUAGCCAUUUGUGAGAAAAUUAAACAUUUAAAUUAAUGGUAUGGCCCGUGGAGUAGUGGGGUUUGAUAAUUCGCACACUCCUCCCAUCCCGGUCAUAACAAAAACUUAUCAAUUAAAGUUCCAGUGCAAGUCCUCAUCCUCAAUAAUGUAAGCCAAUUAAUUUUAAUAUUGUUUAAUCUAUGAAAUUCUGGUAGUUUGAGACAGGUACUGUUUUGUUAUUUAUUUAGGCUUUUAUUAAUUCAAAGAUAACUUGGGAGAAACUGAAUGCAUGGCAAACAUCCUUUGUACAGAUUAUCUCUUGUUCCAUUUUUGAUUUCCUGCAUAACUCUCAGGUUAAGAGAGGAGCAACUGGAUCUCAAUCACCUCUGCUAAAGCUGCUCUUACUCCAAGUAGCUUGUGCAUCAGUAGAUGUACAAUUGGGUCCUGGGCUUGUCUUAGCAAUUUAUUUUACUCAUCCCACUUUCCCCUGGGGACAGCACAUCUCCUUUGCUUCUCCUGCUAACAGCAGAAAUCGUGUGUGUGGUGGAAGGGGCAAAAUACCAUGUCUCAUCAGUUAAUUGUUCUGCACACUCAAGCACCAGCAUGAAAUACGAAGUAGGGCUUUCAGUACAAGGUUUGAUUUCCAGCAAUUAUUCCCUAUAGUAUUCAGCAUUGUAUAAUAAUGUGUGCACUAUAAUUAACGAGUGAUUAUCCCACAGGCAUUAAGUUUUUGGUUCACGUCAAGCACAAUUAAAUCCAUAUAUGGCAUUUGUAUACCUGCAGAAAAUUAAAGGAAUCUGAUCAGAUCAUGAUUUAUAUUUUUUAAAAUCCUGUUUUCUGAACAAAUGGCAUUUCUUUGGCUUUGUUUAAAGAUGUUUUCAAAGCUGUGCUGGGACUGGAGAAGGUUCAGGGUAUUUUACUUCUGUGAUCCAGUGCUAAAAUGUCUCUCCUGAGCAUUGAAAUCCACCCUCCUGCAUGACUGCAACUAUGUCCUGUUUAUUCAAGUGCUUUGCACAAUUUGGGUUUUGCCCCUGUUCUGGGUUACUUAGUUCUUUCAAUAAUGGAAUGAGUCAUGCUACCCAUUCAUUCAAGCAGCACUUUUCUAGUUAAAACAAACUGUGCAAGUAAAGGGAUCAGAAAGCAAAUACAGACUGAUAGUGUCUAGGAGACAAGUAAAAACUGAUCUUGGCAAGACCAUUAUCUGAUGUGUAUUUUCUGAGAUAUAUCAAAGCCCAACAACAACUUGAAAGUUUUCUAUUUAAUCCAUGAUGAGCUGCUGCUGAAUUUUCUGAAAUCAGAAAACCUAUGGAGCAAGUCCCUCAUGUUGAAAAUCUUACUGAAAAAGACAGCAUUAGUAAACCUGAUGUAUUGUUUUUUACUUUAUUUUGCUAUAAAGUAUUAACAGGAGGAAUGUCAUCCUUUAAUAAUGCAAUUAAAGCUCUACCUAGUUUGUGAACUAGCUUGAAUAAAACAUUAUUCACUCACACCUUAUAUGUACUGACUGGACCACUCUCAGUUCCUAACAUCUGGUCUUCAAAAAGCCAGAGAAUACCACCAUUAUUCUCUGGGAAAAAUAAACAAAUCCAGGAAGUCAA